ensembl:miRNA bta-mir-2284y-3 bta-mir-2284y-3
GGGUUGGUCAAAAAGUUCGUUCGGGUUUUUCAUCAGAUGGUAUGGAAAAUCCCAAACGAACUCUUUGGGCAACCUA